AGAAAUGUUGGACUGAAGCAGAUCAACAGGUUUGACAGCGCCGUUAAACUUCCUGGUCUUACAAACUAAAACAGGAGAGAAAUAUAUUUGUAGAUGCGGGAAAAGAUUAAACAGCAUGUCAAACAUUUACUGUAAUAAAUUAAAUACCGAAUAUGAGCCGCUCUGAAAUGUGGAAACGCUUCAGCUAAAGCAGCAGAUGUGUUUAUAUGAGGAACAGAGAAGAAAGAGAUAAAGAUGGCAACUGCAAAAAACACAGUUGAUCUUUCGGCUGCUCCCUACAUGUGUGAGGGGUCACCACAGCAGACCAACCAGUCUGCACAUCAACUUGGCACACGGAUGCCCUUCCUGACACAACCCUCCCAUUUUAUCCGGGCUUGGGACCGACACUACAUCUAGUGGCUAGGGUCGGGCACUGGCUAGGACCCUAGGCCUUCCGCAUGAUAGGUGAGAAACCUACCACUGAGCCACCAGUGCCCAGUCUCCAGACACCAGAGUAAUAAGUAAAU